rnacentral:lncRNA from 1 species
AUGGGGUCAGACCCGUCUGGAGCCAAACCCGAAGGUCUAAGGUGUCAAGGAGGCGCCCUGGGGAUAUUUCAUGGCGAAACAGCUUCGGAAAGGGCUUUUUCACCCGUUCCUGUUGCCCUCCUGCCUCGCCAACAGCAGGGCUUACGUGCCCCCACUUGCCUCCGUCGCCUGGGGCGAGAGGGAAAAGCAAAACCACCGCAACCCUCCGUCAAACCCCAGCAGCGAGGCGCCAGCCAGCGCUGCCCGGGGCUUCGGGGCAGGGUCGAUUUACGGACACAAGCAGAGAGCGUCUCUGGGGAGGCGGCAGACCUCGGCCCGCCGGCUGGGAACGAAUGGCAUUUCUGCUGCCCAGUGGAAUAUUCUGCUCCGUUGGCAAUGCUGAAGGGCAAAGCCAGCAGCAGCUAUUCCUGGCUGGCCGCGGGAAGCAAGGUGGAACGCUCCGAUUUUCCUGCUGGGACACGAGCCUGGCGUCACCCACACUGGGACCCACGCACCGCACCCUCCAUCCCCACCUUUCCCAGGGAAACGUGCCGCGUUCCCAGUGGCGGAAACCACUACCGCUUGCUCUCCGACACCCCCAGCCUCCAGGCCCACAUCUCCCCGCUCCCCCAGAAGCGGCGCACAGGCGGCUGGCGGGCAGCCUCCUCCCUCCCUCCCCAAGAACACGUCCCCCUCCAGCUGCUGCCGUCGGAUAAAAAAAAAAGCACGUGGGGUUUUUAUCGCGAGCGGCGGCGGAUCCUCGCAGGCAGGGGUCUCCCCUGGAGCCGCGCGGGGAAGCGGCGGGCGGGAGGCCACGGGCCGACGCCAGGCCCUGCACGGGGACGUGCGAACCGGGGCGAGGACGGGGCAGCGAUGCCGCAGGCCAGGCCGCGACGGAUGCUCGGGCGGCGCGGCUGGGAGCAAACCGGAGGCGGUUUGCUGAUGCAAGCUCUGGACGCGGAGCGCAACGCUUUUGCGCUGAUCCCCGCGACACGGGGAUGGGGUUUUUUUUUUUUGUCGGGAUCCUCCGUCUUGGCGACCGUGAGACUGAAAAGAAACCACUUUUGGGGGUUGGGGAUGACGAAGCCCGGCACCCUGCGGGUUCAGAGGGGAACGUGGGCGGCGAAGGGCGCAGUAAAACGUGUUACCAAGCGCUCUGGCACGCGUGAAGCAGCCAGGCCGGUGGCCCCGGCCCCGCUCCCCCCCGUAGACCUCCCCCACCCAGCCCGGAGGAGCACAGGGGCGAGCGUACGGCUUCGCCGGGCGACGCAGGGCUGA